UACGGGGGGGGCAAGCGUUGUUCGGAAUUACUGGGCGUAAAGGGCUCGUAGGCGGCCAACUAAGUCAGACGUGAAAUCCCUCGGCUUAACCGGGGAACUGCGUCUGAUACUGGAUGGCUUGAAUCCGGGAGAGGGAUGCGGAAUUCCAGGUGUAGCGGUGAAAUGCGUAGAUAUCUGGAGGAACACCGGUGGCGAAGGCGGCAUCCUGGACCGGCAUUGACGCUGAGGAGCGAAAGCCAGGGGAGCAAACAGG
rnacentral:rRNA from 1 species